CUGGCAUGCAGGGAGAGCCCCAUUCCAGGCUGUGGGAACCACGCUGCCCAGGGGCGUAAUCUGGGUAGCCUCUCCAGCAGGAUGUUUCUUCCAAGGCAGACAGGAAGACGGAGCCAAACCGCCCCUCCUUAGCUUCCAGGAACAGCUCUCGGAUAUCUGGCAGCUGCAGCCUUCGGGCCUCCUUCAAGAGGACUGGCUGCAUCGGAAGAGGCCCCAAGCGAAGGUCUGCCAAGAAAGGCGGUCCGAAUCGAUUGGGUCGUAUCUCGCUUUUACUAUUUUGACAAAUUAGGCAGCGAAGAUAAUCCAAGACAUCUUCCUUCUCCUGUUUUCCCCACCACAACAACCUUGUGAGAAGAUGCCGCCAGUUUAAAUGAAAGAUUAAGAUGGAUGGACUCCAACUCCCAGAAUUCCUCCGGCAGUCCAGCCAUCUUAAAGGCGCUGAGCUUGACCUACCUACACUGUCCUAGACGAACCGUAAAGCAAGCUAUAAGGAACUAGAUCUUGGCUUAUGGAAAGCAAGCAUUCUUCUGCCUGGUUAGAAAACCUGCCAGGCUGUGAGGACAGAGGAGGCCUGAGAACAUGCCAACUAUUCUCAGAAGCUUCUUUCCAUCGCUCUGAAGUCAUGAGUUCAAAACAUGACAUUAGUUUCAUUGA